AUUGAACGCUGGCGGCAGGCCUAACACAUGCAAGUCGAACGAGUGGCGGACGGGUGAGUAAUGUCUGGGAAACUGCCUGAUGGAGGGGGAUAACUACUGGAAAAGGUAGCUAAUACCGCAUACCAUCAGAUGUGCCCAGAUGGGAUGAGCUAGUUGGUGGGGUAAAGGGUCACCAAGGCGACGAUCCCUAGCUGGUCUGAGAGGAGGACCAGCCACACUGUAACUGAGCCACAGUGCAGACUCCGACGGGAGGCAGCAGUGGUGCAUAAUGCACCAUGGGCGCAAGCCUGAUGCAGCCAUGCCGCGUGUCUGCAGAAGGCCUCCGGGUUGUAAAGUACUUUCAGCGGGGAGGCGUUACCCGCAGAAGAAGCACCGGCUAACUCCGUGCCAGCCGCCGCGGUAAUAC
rnacentral:rRNA from 1 species